GCUCAACCUGAGAAAGUCUCCCAAAGCUUCACAGCGGAAGGAAUGCUGAAGUGGGGAUGAAGAGGUGUUGAUCAGAAAAAAAAGACAGUCUCACUGUGUCACCCAGGUUGGAGUACAAUGGCAUGCUCACUGCUCACUGCAGCCUCAACUUCCCUAACUCAAGUGAUUCUCCCACCUCAGCCUGUUAGCUGGGAUUACAGGGUUCUGUCAAAGCAGAUGACUCCCAAAGGUUUCAUAAAUCUUCCGGAAAAUAAGCUCCUUCAGCUAUAUAAUCAUGGCACCCACGGCUUAAAAGUUGACAGUGAGAACAGCAUUGAACAGCCUGCUGCAUUCAGCAAAAGAUGGGAGAAAAAUGAGUUCAAUCAGUAGACUCCCAUGACCCCUUCAAGUGACGCAAUCAUCUCUUCCAAGAAGUGCAGCUACUUAUUUGGGAUAAGCGACGACAGACGAGAAACCACAAAGAAUCUGCAGACGCGAGACUCCCUGACCUGCAGAUAUACAGCCAUCUCCAAUAAGUCUACAUUUAAACUAAAACUUCUCCUGUUGAGCAAGCAUAAUGUGGAAUUAUGUUAGCAAGACCUUAUGCAUUCCCACAAAUUUUCUCCCAAUAAAAAAAACUGUUAUCAAA